AGCGAACGCUGGCGGCAGGCCUAACACAUGCAAGUCGAACGGACCCUUCGGGGUUAGUGGCGGACGGGUGAGUAACACGUGGGAACGUGCCUUUAGGUUCGGAAUAGCUCCUGGAAACGGGUGGUAAUGCCGAAUGUGCCUUUGGGGGGAAAGAUCUAUCGCCUUUAGAGCGGCCCGCGUCUGAUUAGCUAGUUGGUGAGGUAAUGGCUCACCAAGGCGACGAUCAGUAGCUGGUCUGAGAGGAUGACCAGCCACAUUGGGACUGAGACACGGCCCAAACUCCUACGGGAGGCAGCAGUGGGGAAUCUUGCGCAAUGGGCGAAAGCCUGACGCAGCCAUGCCGCGUGGAUGAUGAAGGUCUUAGGAUUGUAAAAUCCUUUCACCGGUGAAGAUAAUGACUGUAGCCGGAGAAGAAGCCCCGGCUAACUUCGUGCCAGCAGCCGCAGUAAUAC
rnacentral:rRNA from 1 species